rnacentral:rRNA from 1 species
GAUGAACGCUGGCUGUGUGCCUAAUACAUGCAUGUCGAGCGAAGCACUUGUGCUUAGCGGCGAAUGGGUGAGUAACACGUACUUAACCUACCCUCAAGUUUGGGACAACAGUUGGAAACGACUGCUAAUACCGAAUGCUCUAUGUAAUCGCAUGAUUAUAUAGUGAAAGGUCCGUUUGGACCGCUCGAGGAUGGGAGUGCGUUACAUUAGUUAGUUGGUAGGGUAAAGGCCUACCAAGACGAUGAUGUAUAGCGGGGUUGAGAAGCUGAUCCGCCACACUGGGACUGAGAUACGGCCCAGACUCCUACGGGAGGCAGCAGUAGGGAAUUUUCCACAAUGAGCGAAAGCUUGAUGGAGCGACACAGCGUGCAGGAUGAAGGUCUUCGGAUCGUAAACUGCUGUUAUAAGGGAAGAACAACUAGUAUAGGAAAUGAUAUUAGCCUGACGGUACCUUAUCAGAAAGCACCGGCAAACUAUGUGCCAGCAGCCGCGGUAAUACAUAGGGUGCAAGCGUUAUCCGGAAUUAUUGGACGUAAAGCGUCUGUAGGCGGUUUAUUAAGUUCGAAGUUAAAGCCUGGGGCUCAACCCCAGCCCGCUUUGAAUACUGAUGGACUAGAGUUAUGGAGAGGUCAGUGGGACUCCUUGUGAAGCGGUGGAAUGCGUAGAUAUAAGGAAGAACACCAAUAGCGAAGGCAGCUGACUGGACAUUAACUGACGCUCAGAGACGAAAGUGUGGGGAGCAAACAGGAUUAGAUACCCUGGUAGUCCACACCGUAAACGAUGUUCGUUAGAUGGCGGGAAUAUCUCGCUGUCGCAGCUAACGCAUUAAACGAACCGCCUGAGUAGUAUGCGCGCAAGCGUGAAACUUAAAUGAAUUGACGGGGACCCGCACAAGCGGUGGAGCAUGUGGUUUAAUUUGAAGAUACGCGGAGAACCUUACCCAGACUUGACAUCUUCCGCAAAGGCCUAGAAAUAGGUUGGAGGCUAACGGAAUGACAGAUGGUGCAUGGUUGUCGUCAGCUCGUGCCGUGAGGUGUUCGGUUAAGUCCGACAACGAGCGCAACCCCUGUCUUUAGUUACUAACAUUAAGUUGAGGACUCUAGAGAGACUGCCUGGGUAACCAGGAGGAAGGUGGGGACGACGUCAAAUCAUCAUGCCUCUUACGUCUGGGGCUACACACGUGCUACAAUGGCCGGUACAAAGGGAAGCAAACCUGCGAGGGUAAGCAAACCCCAAAAAACCGGUCUCAGUUCGGAUCGAAGUCUGCAACUCGACUUCGUGAAGUCGGAAUCGCUAGUAAUCGUAGGUCAGCAAUACUACGGUGAAUACGUUCUCGGGUCUUGUACACACCGCCCGUCACACCAUGGGAGUUGGUAAUGCCCGAAGCCGGAUAGUUAACUUCGGAUGCUACUGUCUAAGGCAGGACUGAUGACUGGGGUG